GUGGGGAAUUUUGCACAAUGGGGGAAACCCUGAUGCAGCGACGCCGCGUGAUUUAGAAGGCCUUCGGGUUGUAAGAAUCUUUUGUACAGGAAGAAAAUGACAGUACUGUACGAAUAAGGUCCGGCUAAUUACGUGCCAGCAGCCGCGGUAAUACGUAAGGACCGAGCGUUGUCCGGAAUCAUUGGGCGUAAAGGGUACGUAGGCGGCCCGUUAAGUUAGGAGUGAAAGGCUAUAGCUCAACUAUAGUAAGCUUUUAAAACUGGCGAGCUUGAGAGAUUGAGGGGGAAGUGGAAUUCCUAGUGUAGCGGUGAAAUGCGCAGAUAUUAGGAGGAAUACCAGUGGCGAAGGCGACUUUCUGGCAAUUUUCUGACGCUGAGGUACGAAAGCGUGGGUAGCAAACAGGA
rnacentral:rRNA from 1 species